AAUUUUACCCCUCAUAUCAAUUUUAAAGGACUAUUCUAUCCUUUUUUAUAUAAAAAAAUAUUUUGGGGUUAUUACAUCCUCCCCCCUUAUAUAAAAUUCGUCCUCGAAUUUAAAAGAGUAAAUUACCUGUCAUAUCUGCAUUCGAUGCCUGUGCCUCCUGUGGAUUUACCGUGAACACCCUUCCUUGCCCUUUGCCUACUGGAGCUGACAGUUGAGAUGGUCCAGCACUCUGCUGUGAUGUUUGUGCUUGACCUCUGCCUCUGCCUACAGGCUCCCUACUACUAGGCCUGUCCAUCUGCACAGAAGGAUAGGAUGCUAAAGGCACAAACUGCCGGGUGGCACCCUGCGGGCAUUCUUUGACAAAAUGACCCGGCUGUCCACAUCUGUAGCACACUCCCUGACC
rnacentral:lncRNA from 1 species